GACGAACGCUGGCGGCGUGCUUAACACAUGCAAGUCGAACGGAAAGGCCCUGCUUUUGUGGGGUGCUCGAGUGGCGAACGGGUGAGUAACACGUGAGUAACCUGCCCUUGACUUUGGGAUAACUUCAGGAAACUGGGGCUAAUACCGGAUAGGAGCUCCUGCUGCAUGGUGGGGGUUGGAAAGUUUCGGCGGUUGGGGAUGGACUCGCGGCUUAUCAGCUUGUUGGUGGGGUAGUGGCUUACCAAGGCUUUGACGGGUAGCCGGCCUGAGAGGGUGACCGGCCACAUUGGGCCUGAGGUACGGACCAGACUCCUACGGGAGGCAGCAGUGGAGAAUCUUGCACAAUGGGCGGAAGCCUGAUGCAGCAACGCCGCGAGCGGGAUGCCGGCCUUCGGGUUGUAAACCGCUUUCGCCUGUGACGAAGCGUGAUUGACGGUAAUGGGUAAAGAAGCACCGGCUAACUACGUG
rnacentral:rRNA from 1 species